rnacentral:rRNA from 1 species
CACGUAGGGGGGCGAGCGUUGUCCGGAUUUAUUGGGCGUAAAGAGCUCGUAGGCGGCUCGGUAAGUCGGGUGUGAAAACUCUAGGCUCAACCUAGAGACGCCACCCGAUACUGCUGUGGCUAGAGUCCGGUAGGGGAGCAUGGAAUUCCUGGUGUAGCGGUGAAAUGCGCAGAUAUCAGGAGGAACACCGGUGGCGAAAGCGGCUCUCUGGCCCGGUUCUGACGCUGAGGCGCGAAAGCGUGGGGAGCAAACAGG